rnacentral:lncRNA from 1 species
ACCCAUGUAAGGAAAAAAAACAAUAAUCAUAGAUCCAUUGAAUCUCACAGUUAGAAGGUACAUAUCAUGCUUCAAAUAGAACUUCCUGAAAACAAAAGAAAGUUUUUAGGUCAGGUGUCCUAUGAAGAGGAGGGGAACUUUAACUAUAUGUCCGCCUAGAAAUUCAUGGAGAAAUAAAUUAAUUUCAAUAUUAUUCCAUCAAAUAAGAAAUUGACUGAAUUAAUUCAAUUGCUACUGCCAGACCCUAUUUAAACACUCAUUUAACCUUGAAAUCAUCCUCCACUUACAAUUAGCAACCCUUAUUUAACUAAUUCAUCAAUUCUUUCCAGUUUGACAAUUAUUCAAGAAAGUGAAAGUCACAAUUCCAAAUCAACUAACCAUUUUUCACAGGGUCCUUGCACAGCUAUUAUCGUUUACCAUGAGAAUAACACAAACAUUCCAUCAAUUUCAUCAUGUAAUAAAUUUAAAACACCUUGAUUGAUCCAUAACUAAAUUAGGGCUUGAAAUUACCUCUUGGAAGUGUAAUUCAAAAAGAAAGAGACUGGAUGGGGGUAAACCAACAGAUUUUCGGCCACUAGGGUUACUGCCAACGAAGUGCCGCCACAACUCCACCUUCGGCCACGGCUUCACGGCGCUGCUUUCUUCUUCGCCACAUCUUUGUCUCGACUGCUCUCUUGUUUCUACUAAUUACACACUCACGACUAGACAGCAGCACCAAGGGUCAGAAACCCGGUGCACUCGAGGAAGGUGUGUGUGCGUGUUUUUGCGUUCUCCCGAUCAAACACACACUAGAAGCCUAAAUUCCAAUUUGACCCAUUU